AAAAUAUACAUUCCCCAACAAACUUCCCGCCAAUGCCAGAGUGAAUAUGGAGGAGUUUUUCAGGGGCGCACUCCUUAAAACCUUAUUCAUAUAAACCUAAAAACGCCUCAUUUUAAUCUAAUUUUUUCAGUCAUCUUGUACCUCUAAAAAGAUGGGUAUACAGGGUCUACUGCCACAACUAAAAUCAAUAAUGUCACCGAUUCACAUCAAAGAAUUAGAGGGAUGUUGCGUUGCCAUUGACACCUAUUCUUGGCUCCACAAAGGCGCCUUAUCUUGCAGUACCCAGCUUUGCAAGGGCAUUCCUACUUCUAGGCACAUUGACUAUUGCAUCCAUAGAGUAAAUUUGUUGCGUCAUUAUGGUGUCAAACCACUUCUCGUCUUUGAUGGAGAUAACCUACCAAUGAAGAGCGAGCAAGAGAAUAAACGUGCACGCUCUAGAAAGGAUAAUCUUGCACGUGCUAUUGAGCACGAGUCAAGUGGAAAUUCUAAGGCUGCAUAUGAAUGCUACCAAAAGGCUGUUGAUAUUUCUCCAGCAAUUGCUUAUGAAUUAAUACAGGUCUUGAAGCGAGAAGGUGUUAGCUAUGUAGUGGCCCCUUAUGAAGCAGAUGCACAAAUGGCAUUCUUGGCGAUUACUAAGCAGGUUGAUGCAGUAAUUACUGAGGACUCAGACCUCAUUGCAUUUGGUUGUCCAAGAAUUAUCUACAAGAUGGAUAAAUAUGGACAAGGUGUUGAAUUUCAGUUUAACAAGCUAGAACACAACAAGGAUCUAAAUUUGAUUGGAUUUACUAAUGAGAUGAUCCAAGAGAUGUGUAUCCUUAGUGGCUGUGACUACUUGCCAUCACUUCCUGGUAUGGGCCUGAAAAGAGCUCAUUCUCUUAUAAGCAAGUUCAAAAAAUUUGAAAAGGUGAUUAAACACUUGAAGUACAGCUCUGUGGAAGUUCCCCCUCUUUAUGAGGAGUCAUUCAAGAAGGCAGUGUGGACUUUCCGGCACCAAAGAGUUUACGAUCCAAACAAAGAGGAUAUUGUCAAUCUAACAAAUAUCUCAGACAAUAUUGAUGGGGAUACGGAUUUCUUAGGCCCAUCGAUGCCUCAACCGACAGUGAAAGCCAUAGCAAAAGGUGAGCUUGAUCCAAUCACUAAACUACCAUUCCAGGCUGAGACUACCAAUGGCAAUUCGACUUUCCAUACAUCGUAUCAACGUAAAGACUUUAGACCUGAAAGCAACAAGACAAAGCUAGAUUUGCCUGCUCAGAAGAAUAUUCUGACCAACUACUUCUGUUUUGCAUCACUAGAAGCAAAGAGGAAUUUCAGGCCCCCACGAGUGUCACCAAAAGAUCUGAAUUCAGGAAAUGACUCCUCCCCCACUUUGAUGAAACCAGAUGAUGGAUACUCUAAUGCUAGUAAAGCAAGUGAAUUAUCACUAGAAUCUGUGAUUGAUCAGGUGGUUCAGGGGGAUGACAAGUCUCCGCAUAAUUCAAUGGAGAUCGAAUUUUCUGAAAAAGAGAUCAAGAAUAGUGAUUCUCCAGUUAAUGGAAGUCUGGGGAAAAAUCCUUUGGAGCAAUCCCAUCGUUCCAUUCAUAAACCUUGCUUAGUUUUGCGUAGGGGCCAUGCUGAUGAGCAUUGUCCCAGGACAGUCUCAGAAAAGGGAAACCUGCAAGAUCAGCACACUACUGUAAAGAGUUCUUCUUUCCAGCAUAAUUUAGUAUGUGAAGUUGAUCCAAGUUAUAGAAAUGACAAAGUUACUUUGAGGAGUUCUUAUUUUGUGGAUAAACAAGAUGACAAUGAUACAUUGAGAACAAGUAAAAAGGUCGUCAUUAAGAGUUCUUACUUUAAGCAUAAGUCCAAACCCACUCAAAGUUGUAUAAAUGAAAGGUGCUUAAUCAAGGAUGAUUCUUCUAUUGAUGGUGAAAUGAGUGAAAAAGGUUCACCAGAAAUGGCUUUAGUUGGGAAUAACUUAGAUGAAGACUUGUAUGUGAAAAGAAAAGCUUCUUCUAGUCUUAAUCCCAAGGAACAUGUAAAAGAAAAGCAUGCUCGGACAGAGACAUGUGCGGAAGUGAAAAGUGAUGACAUUUCUGUUGAUGGCGAUAAAUGUACAAACUCUAUGGCAGAAGAAGAAAAGUUCGGCUGCAAAAUAUCCCAUUUGGGACAUUACUCUGAUAUAUCAGGGAAAUCGAUGGAAAAAUUCGUUUCAGCUGUGUCAUCAUAUAAAUUCACCUCAUCUGGUUCUCGUGCCAGUGGACUCCGUGCCCCGUUGAGGGAUGUAAAAAAUAUCGGUCUUAAUAGGUCACUCAUUGCCACUGACAUUGGAAAAUUCUCAUACGUGUCAAAGGGUGCAAAGGCCAAGGUUAAGAGAACGUCAUGUCAGAGACUCUGAAAUGUAAUAGUUUAUCAAUGAAUCAUUGGCUGGUUUCUGUACAUGAAAUUUGUUAUUUUCACAGCGGAGGCAGCAAUCAGUUUAAUCUGCAUCUGCUUGCACUGUGUACAUGGCUGCAACCACAACGUGAGCAACAUACCGUAGAAUCAGCUCUAAUUUGCAUAUUUGGGAGUUGAUGAGCCAGUUUUUUUUUUUUUUUUUCUGUACCGUAGCUUCCAUCAGCAUGUUAUUCUUUUGUGGUCAACGAACGAUAUAUCUCAAUCUGGGAGUAUACUGUUACUUCUGGCCAUUUCGAACUGUAUUUUUUUGGGUGUAUAUGGUCUGUCUGCAUCGUUGGUGCACCUCCAUUUUAAGUGUAUUCUUAUUACUUCAAAGAACUCAAAUGGCUUCACAGACCAGUCUCAAAUGGUUUGCAAUAUACUAGCAGCUUGUUUGAGACUUCGAGUCUUUGAGUGAA